rnacentral:lncRNA from 1 species
UCAGGCACUACAACACGUGCACUGGUACAUCAGGAGCUGCAUCAGAUUGCAUCAGGUCUGCUGAGCCUGGAGCUUCCUUUCACAAGCUUUGGGACUAGAGGGAAAAGGGAAACCCACGGAUCAGAGGCUUCAUUACGUGCCACAUUCUGCUACAUUUCCACAUCACCUGGUACCUAAAGCGGUCCUAUCUGGUCACCAGAGCUACCCACACAAGUCCCAGCACAUCCUGAAGCACGUGUCCCGCUUCUACUCCAGCCAAGCCUGUGUUCCAGGAGGACGGUGGUUUUAAGCACUUUGCUGAAGCCAGCUGCCAGAUUUGUGAUGGAGAGAACCUUUCCGGAGCGUGUAGAAGGCUCCUGCGUUGUUCUGCUCAAAGCUGCUCCUGUUGGAGUGAAGCUCACCUGCUGCAAAGAGCCUGCACAAGGCCUCGCACCACUCAGGAGCACAAAUGGAGCUACAUUUGACCCUCUUACAGCUCUUGUUCAGAUAAAGCUCCGGAUGACUCCAGCGGGAUGCCUGCCUGAGUGGAGACUGUGCUACCUGCUCCUCGCUGUGGUUACAAGGUCGCUGGGAGAAAGGUAGUGUCAGACCACAAGGAAAUAUUUUCAAAAUUGCUUCUGCAGUCCUAUUCAGGCACUAACAGCC